AUGUUUCUAACAAAAGUUUUUAAUAACCUACGCCCCCAGAAACAGUGUCUUUAUUUACUACAAACACACUUAAACCAAAGAUUACAAUCAAGCAAGUCCAAAGAAGAACAGCCUAAGGCUGCCAGUAAUCAAACUUUGGGGGGCAUGGGUUCAAAAUAUCAAGUUUUUCGUGAUGAAGAUUCUGAAGUUAUUCUUGACCUUUACGAAGAACGGCACUAUGGAGAUUUACUAGAAUCAGAAGAAAGAAAAAAAGAUUUAUGCGAAGGCUUAAAUUUAGAACGAGGAUUCGAUGGUGUUUAUGACAUAGAAGAUCUCGUUGAAGUACUUCGCCGUGAAAAUGCCCUAAACAUUUUCGUUGCAUCAGUUCCUAAAGAAAUCAAAUAUGUUAAUUAUAUGUGUGUAGUCACUGGAAAGUCAGUGAAACAUAUGCAAGCAAUUUCUCAGUUUGUAAGAAAGGUUUAUAAGAAGAAAAGACAUAAAAGUGAUCCAGUUCCCAAACUUGAAGGCGCAGAAUCGAAAGAUUGGAUGGCUUUAGACUUAGGAAACAUUGCACUUCAUAUAUUUUCUCCAGAAGCCAGAACUUUGUAUGAUUUAGAUUCCUUAUGGUCAGUAGGUCCACAGUUUGAUGCAGAAUACAAUAAACAGGAUCCUGUUGCUGAAAUGCUAGAAAAACAUUCAAUAUAUUUGCAAGAUUUACGCCCUGCCAAUUAAUAAAAGGGGUAUCUCUAAAUGUUUUAUCUACAAAUAAAGAGUUAUCACAAUAUUGACUUAUCUCUUUAUCUGUGGAGAUAAUGUUUGUACUUAUUUCCCCUUAGUGAUUUUAUCAUUUAUUUUGUGAAUCAGUUCAACAAAACGUUUAGAAAAAUGUGACGUGAAUAUAACGUUAAACAAUGAGUGAAAAGAAAAAGUCGUUAAUGCAAAAAACGUUUCUCAGUUAUGUUCUCACAAGUAAACAAGAUGCAUGGAUUAAUUAUUUAAUACCAUCAAUUACAUCAUUUUUGCUGUAUAUUUUUUUGUUUGCGAGUGAUGUAGCGGUCGUAUUUAGGCAUUUUAAAGAUGAGAACCCAAUAUGGGCUUCCGUUACGUUAUUUGUGAUGUGGUUACCUUCCCUAUGUUCCUACAUUGUGAUAGUCUCGUCGUGGGACCUCUGGCCAGACAUGGAAGGUUGUGAACGUGAUAACUGUAUAUGGUUUGUUGUAAAAACAUUAGAACAUUUAAUGUUCCCAGUGUGGGCGAUUUGGCGAUUUGCAGAAAGAAUUUUUUGGUCUAUAGAAGCGGUGCGAGCAUCUGAUGAUGAAUUUGUAUAUCUUGCAAUUAAUAAGGCAUCAGCACCAAGAACAAUUGAACUGUAUUUCUUUUUCCAAGCCUUUUUGCAUUCUCUACCGCAAAUGCUUAUACAACUUAAUAUUCUAAUGAGACAAGAUUAUAACGUAAAUAGACAGACUGCUGAUGCAGAAGUACUAAGUUUUGUGUUCAAUCUGUCCAAAAUAGCCGCAACUAUUGCCUUUUACCAACGAUUUAAAACGCAGAAACUAGCAGGCAAACAAUACCCGUGGUUCAAAUCUUAUAAAAACCGCUUUAAUCCGACUGAUGAAAUUGAUUCCUUGACUAGACCUAGGGCUACUCAUACUAGACCAACAAGUUCAACAAGUGAAGACCCUAGUCCUAGAGUUGUUCACAUUAGACAACUAAGUUCAACAACUGAAGAACCGCCACCCUCAGAAAGCAGAAGGAGCAGUGAUUUCUAUUUGGAACCAGAAGAGAGCGAUCGACCAGACUCUAUGCAUAAGUCAAUUUACAGUGAACCAGAACAGCGCGAUCGACCAGACUCUGCGCCUAAGUCAAUUUAUAGUCGUAACUCAAUGUACAGCCGCAACUCAGGUUACAGUACUCAGCCUGACUUCAAUAUAAGGAGAGUAGCUGCAGUGAAAGGUUUACCAGAAGAUGACCAGGCAGGAAAACUGGUGUCUUUUCUUUGGUGGUCGUGUUUUUUAUUGGCUAGAAUAUUGGCAAUUUCUACUUUUUUCUAUUUUUAUCCAACUGCUACGUGUUGGCUGCUUUUUUCACAUUUCAUGAUAGUUAUUUCAUUUUUAAUUUAUGACGUCAAGUCAGAUGAUGUUAAGAGAGGCAAAGCAGUAUUUUUUCUCUUCAUAGGUUUGAUUUACAUAUUUUGUAUAAUAGAAUUUAAAAUUAAGUUUAAGAAGACAAAAUUUAUGUACAUUGGUUAUUUUACUCUUGUUUUUCUUCAAGACUUCAUCAUGUGCAUGAUUUGGUGGUUUAACAAUGUAGAGGAUCUUCGUAAGGAUUUUUGGUUUCAAUACAUAUUUUAUAUUGUAAUAAUGGGUUCUCUUAUCAGUGUUCCAGCAAUGCUUUUAUAUUUAUGUAUUAAUAAGCCAAAGAAAGUAGUGGUAGGUCAAAGAGUCUUGUAAUCAAUAUAGAGACAGUAUCAACAUUUUCGUAUUUUUUGACUCGUCAUUAAUAAAACCUUCGUA